GAUGAACGCUAGCUACAGGCUUAACACAUGCAAGUCGAGGGGCAGCACGGAGAUAGCUUGCUAUCUUGGGUGGCGACCGGCGCACGGGUGAGUAACGCGUAUCCAACCUGCCCAUUACUCUGGGAUAGCCUUGCGAAAGUAAGAUUAAUACCGGAUGUUGUUAAAAACCCGCAUGAGUUUUUAACCAAAGAUUUAUUGGUAAUGGAUGGGGAUGCGUGACAUUAGGUAGUUGGUGAGGUAACGGCUCACCAAGCCUACGAUGUCUAGGGGUUCUGAGAGGAAGGUCCCCCACACUGGAACUGAGACACGGUCUAGACUCCUACGGGAGGCAGCAGUGAGGAAUAUUGGUCAAUGGUCUGACGACUGAACCAGCCAUGCCGCGUGAAGGUCACGGCCCUAUGGGUCUUAAACUUCUUUUGCGAGGGAGCAAUAAGGUCUACGUGUAGUCCGAUGAGAGUACCUCGCGAAUAAGCAUCGGCUAACUCCGUGCCAGCAGCCG
rnacentral:rRNA from 1 species